rnacentral:tRNA from 2 species
UGCGGGGUGCAGCAGUGGUAGCUAACGAGCCUCAUAAGCUCGGAGUCGGUGGUUCGAAUCCAUCCCCCGCAACCA